rnacentral:rRNA from 1 species
UACGAAGGGGGCUAGCGUUGCUCGGAAUCACUGGGCGUAAAGGGUGCGUAGGCGGGUCUUAAGUCAGGGGUGAAAUCCUGGAGCUCAACUCCAGAACUGCCUUUGAUACUGAAGAUCUUGAGUUCGGGAGAGGUGAGUGGAACUGCGAGUGUAGAGGUGAAAUUCGUAGAUAUUCGCAAGAACACCAGUGGCGAAGGCGGCUCACUGGCCCAUAACUGACGCUGAGGCACGAAAGCGUGGGGAGCAAACAGG